UACGAAGGUGGCAAGCGUUGUUCGGAUUUACUGGGCGUAAAGGGUGCGUAGGUGGUUAGGUAAGCCCUCCGGGAAAUCUUCAGGCUUAACCUGAAAAGGUCGGGGGGGACUGCCUGGCUAGAGGACGGGAGAGGAGCGCGGAAUUCCCGGUGUAGCGGUGAAAUGCUUAGAUAUGACAUAGAACACCAAUUGCGAAGGCAGCUGGCUACACGAAUAUUGACACUGAUGCACGAAAGCGUGGGGAUCAAACAGG
rnacentral:rRNA from 1 species